GGGCCGCCAGGAGGCGCGGCCGCCGCCGCCUCAGUCAUGGCUCCUCGCCGUGGCCGAUGUUUUUGUACCUCCAUCUGCGGAGGCCGCGGCGCCCGGCCCCAGCUGCCCCGGACGUGCGGCGACGGCACGCAGCACUGCGGCAGGGGGAAGCCAGCCCUCGCUGCGGCCGAGAAAAGACAUUCCAUGGCCAGGCAUGGUGGCUCACACCUAUAAUCCCAGCACUUUGAGAGGCCAAUGUGAGAGUAUUGCUUGAGCCCAGGAGUUUGAGAACAGCCCAGGGAAAACAGCAAAACUUCAUCUCUUCAAAAAAUAAAUAAUAAAAAAAUUUAGCCGGGGGUGGUGGCAUACACCUGUAGUCCAAGCUACUCAGAGGCUCAGGCAGGAGGAUCACUUGAGCCCAGGAGGUCAAGGCUGCAGUGAACCAUGAUCACGCCACUGCAAACCAGCCUGGGCAACAGAGCAACACCCCGUCUCCAAAAAAAGAAAAAGAAAGGAAGGGAGGAAGGAAAGAAAGAAAAAAGGAAAAGGUGUUCCCUCUUACACACAGCUCUGUAUCCAUCCAUCUUUGUCUGUGUUCUCUCUACCUAGAAAAAGAGGACCAUCCCUCAUUACCACCAUUCCUUGUUAAUUCCUCUCUCCAAUCCACCUACAACUCAUGUUAUCCUCUUAUAUUCCACCACACCACUGUUAUCGUCUACUCACUUCACUUGACAAUAAUGUAGGCUGGGCGUGGUGGCUCAUGCCUGUAAUCCCAGCACUCUGGAAGGCCAAGGCAGGCAGAUCACCUGAGGCCAGGAAUUCGAGACCAGCCUGGCCAACAUGGUGAAACCCCGCCUCUACUAAAAAUACAAAAAGUAGCCAAGCAUGGUGGUGCACGCCUGUAGUUCCAGCUACUCGGGAGGCUGAGGCAUGAGAAUCACUUGAGCCCGGAAGGCAGAGGUUGCAGUGAGCCAAGAUCACACCACUGCACUCCAGCCUACGCGACAGAAGGAGACUGUGUCUCAAAAAAAGAACCAAUAAUGUACAGAGUUGGCACUACAUUACCCUUGGUUAAAUGCUGUCUGUAAUUCCUCUGAGUUUGUUUUCAUAUACCAGUCUUGCCACCUCAAGCCAGCCUGAAAGCCCUUGCAGGCAGGAACUGUGGUUGUUCUAAUUUAAGAUCUGUAACUCAUCUAUAGAUAAUAAACGUAUUCCAAAAAGGCA
rnacentral:lncRNA from 1 species